UGCCAGACUCCUACGGGAGGCAGCAGUGAGGAAUAUUGGUCAAUGGGAGAGAUCCUGAACCAGCCAAGCCGCGUGAGGGAAGACGGCCCUAUGGGUUGUAAACCUCUUUUGUCGGAGAACAAAACCCGGGACGUGUCCCGGACUGCGUGUAUCCGAAGAAAAAGCAUCGGCUAACUCCGUGCCAGCAGCCGCGGUAAUACGUAGGUGGCAAGCGUUAUCCGGAUUUACUGGGUGUAAAGGGCGUGUAGGCGGGAAAGCAAGUCAGAUGUGAAAACCAUGGGCUCAACCUGUGGCCUGCAUUUGAAACUGUUUUUCUUGAGUACUGGAGAGGCAGACGGAAUUCCUAGUGUAGCGGUGAAAUGCGUAGAUAUUAGGAGGAACACCAGUGGCGAAGGCGGUCUGCUGGACAGCAACUGACGCUGAGGCGCGAAAGCGUGGGGAGCAAACAGGAUUAGAUACCCGUGUACC
rnacentral:rRNA from 1 species